rnacentral:rRNA from 1 species
AAUCAACGCUGGCGGCGUGCCUCAGACAUGCAAGUCGAACGCGAAAGUUUCCUUCGGGAGACAAGUAGAGUGGCGCACGGGUGAGUAACACGUAGGUAAUCUACCUUUGGAUGGGGAAUAACAACCGGAAACGGUUGCUAAUACCGCAUAAUGCAGCGGCACCUAAUGGUGACAGUUGUUAAAGCGGGGGAUCGAAAGACCUCGCGUCUGAAGAGGAGCCUGCGGCGGAUUAGCAGUUGGUAAGGUAAUGGCUUACCAAGGCUACGAUCCGUAACCGGCCUGAGAGGGCGGUCGGUCACACUGACACUGACAUACGGGUCAGACUCCUACGGGAGGCAGCAGUCGGGAAUUUUGGGCAAUGGGCGAAAGCCUGACCCAGCAACGCCGCGUGAAGGAU